rnacentral:rRNA from 1 species
UCGAGCGGCAGCACGGGUACUUGUACCUGGUGGCGAGCGGCGGACGGGUGAGUAAUGCCUAGGAAUCUGCCUGGUAGUGGGGGAUAACGCUCGGAAACGGACGCUAAUACCGCAUACGUCCUACGGGAGAAAGCAGGGGACCUUCGGGCCUUGCGCUAUCAGAUGAGCCUAGGUCGGAUUAGCUAGUUGGUGAGGUAAUGGCUCACCAAGGCGACGAUCCGUAACUGGUCUGAGAGGAUGAUCAGUCACACUGGAACUGAGACACGGUCCAGACUCCUACGGGAGGCAGCAGUGGGGAAUAUUGGACAAUGGGCGAAAGCCUGAUCCAGCCAUGCCGCGUGUGUGAAGAAGGUCUUCGGAUUGUAAAGCACUUUAAGUUGGGAGGAAGGGCAGUUACCUAAUACGUAUCUGUUUUGACGUUACCGACAGAAUAAGCACCGGCUAACUCUGUGCCAGCAGCCGCGGUAAUACAGAGGGUGCAAGCGUUUAUCGGAAUUACUGGGCAUAAAGCGCGCGUAUGUGGUUCGUUAAGUUCGCAUGUGAAAUCCCCGGGCUCAACCUGUGGAACUGCAUUCAACACUGACGA